UCUCGUAGUUGGAUCUCGGCGGCUAGAGGGCGGUAUGCUUCGUAGCAUUACUGCUCUAUUAGCCGUAGUUUUGCUAGAGGUUCCUGGGUGCUCUUAAUCGAGUGUCUAGGGAUGCUAGCGGGUUUACUUUGAAAAAAUUAGAGUGCUCAAAGCAGGCUAUUACGCUUGAAUAUUCGUGCAUGGAAUAAUAGAAUAGGAAGUUGUUUCUAUUUUGUUGGUUUUCGGAAAUCGACUUAAUGAUUAAUAGGGACAGUCGGGGGCAUUUGUAUUCAAACGACAGAGGUGAAAUUCUUGGACCGUUUGAAGACAAGCUACUGCGAAAGCAUUUGCCAAGAAUGUUUUCAUUAAUCAAGAACGAAAGUUAGAGGUUCGAAGGCGAUUAGAUACCGCCCUAGUUCUAACCAUAAACGAUGCCAGCUAGCGAUCUGAGGACGUUUUUUUGUAGACUCCUCAGGAAGCUUCCGGGAAACCAAAGCGUGUGGGUUCCGGGGGAAGUAUGGUUGCAAAGCUGAAACUUAAAGGAAUUGACGGAAGGGCACCACCAGGAGUGGAGCCUGCGGCUUAAUUUGACUCAACACGGGAAAUCUCACCAGGCCCGGACACUGGAAGGAUUGACAGAUUGAGAGCUCUUUCUCGAUUCGGUGGGUGGUGGUGCAUGGCCGUUCUUAGUUGGUGGAG
rnacentral:rRNA from 1 species